GUGAACGCUGGCGGUAGGCCUAACCCAUGCAAGUCGAACGGCAGCACAGUAAGAGCUUGCUCUUACGGGUGGCGAGUGGCGGACGGGUGAGGAAUACAUCGGAAUCUACUUUUUCGUGGGGGAUAACGUAGGGAAACUUACGCUAAUACCGCAUACGACCUACGGGUGAAAGCAGGGGAUCUUCGGACCUUGCGCGAUUGAAUGAGCCGAUGUCGGAUUAGCUAGUUGGCGGGGUAAAGGCCCACCAAGGCGACGAUCCGUAGCUGGUCUGAGAGGAUGAUCAGCCACACUGGAACUGAGACACGGUCCAGACUCCUACGGGAGGCAGGAGUGGGGAAUAUUGGACAAUGGGCGCAAGCCUGAUCCAGCCAUACCGCGUGGGUGAAGAAGGCCUUCGGGUUGUAAAGCCCUUUUGUUGGGAAAGAAAAGCAGCAGGUUAAUACCCCGCUGUUCUGACGGUACCCAAAGAAUAAGCACCGGCUAACUUCGUG
rnacentral:rRNA from 1 species